CCACCGGGCGUCGGCUCGGUUUUUUCCCUUUUAGCCUGCAUGCGCCUCGCGGAAUUCAGCACCUACAGGCUAAAAGGGAAAAAACCGAGCCCAUGCUUGGUGG